UGGUGGGUAGUUUGACUGGGGCGGUCUCCUCCCAAAGCGUAACGGAGGAGCACGAAGGUUAGCUAAUCCUGGUCGGACAUCAGGAGGUUAGUGCAAUGGCAUAAGCUAGCUUGACUGCGAGCGUGACGGCGCGAGCAGGUGCGAAAGCAGGUCAUAGUGAUCCGGUGGUUCUGAAUGGAAGGGCCAUCGCUCAACGGAUAAAAGGUACUCCGGGGAUAACAGGCUGAUACCGCCCAAGAGUUCAUAUCGACGGCGGUGUUUGGCACCUCGAUGUCGGCUCAUCACAUCCUGGGGCUGAAGUAGGUCCCAAGGGUAUGGCUGUUCGCCAUUUAAAGUGGUACGCGAGCUGGGUUUAGAACGUCGUGAGACAGUUCGGUCCCUAUCUGCCGUGGGCGCUGGAGAAUUGAGGGGGGCUGCUCCUAGUACGAGAGGACCGGAGUGGACGCAUCACUGGUGUUCGGGUUGUCAUGCCAAUGGCACUGCCCGGUAGCUAAAUGCGGAAGAGAUAAGUGCUGAAAGCAUCUAAGCACGAAACUUGCCCCGAGAUGAGUUCUCCCUGAGACUUUAAGUCUCCUGAAGGAACGUUGAAGACGACGACGUUGAUAGGCCGGGUGUGUAAGCGCAGCGAUGCGUUGAGCUAACCGGUACUAAUGAACCGUGAGG
rnacentral:rRNA from 1 species